AUUGAACGCUGGCGGCAUGCCUUACACAUGCAAGUCGAACGGUAACAGGUUAAGCUGACGAGUGGCGAACGGGUGAGUAAUGUAUCGGAACGUGCCCAGUCGUGGGGGAUAACUGCUCGAAAGAGCAGCUAAUACCGCAUACGACCUGAGGGUGAAAGCGGGGGAUCGCAAGACCUCGCGCGAUUGGAGCGGCCGAUAUCAGAUUAGGUAGUUGGUGAGGUAAAGGCUCACCAAGCCGACGAUCUGUAGCUGGUCUGAGAGGACGACCAGCCACACUGGGACUGAGACACGGCCCAGACUCCUACGGGAGGCAGCAGUGGGGAAUUUUGGACAAUGGGCGAAAGCCUGAUCCAGCCAUGCCGCGUGCGGGAAGAAGGCCUUCGGGUUGUAAACCGCUUUUGUCAGGGAAGAAAAGGUUCUGGCUAAUACCUGGGACUCAUGACGGUACCUGAAGAAUAAGCACCGGCUAACUACGU
rnacentral:rRNA from 1 species